GGCUCCGAGGGAUGCGGAAGCAGUAAUGCCCGCAUGGUCAGCUUUUAGACCUUGAACACCCCUAUCGGAGCCUU
rnacentral:sRNA from 12 species